ACACCCAUCAAGCCUGGCUUGGUCUUGGGCGGCGGGACCUCCCCGCGCCCCGAUUUCGCCGGCUGGACGACCCUGAUCUCAAGCGUUGAGGUAACAAUCUCGCGAGGGGACGGGCGGCCACGCCGUUAAACCUUUAAAUCAAAG
rnacentral:misc_RNA from 1 species